rnacentral:rRNA from 1 species
AACGAACGCUGGCGGCGUGCCUAAUACAUGCAAGUCGAACGAGAAUAUGUAGCAAUACAUUAGUAAAGUGGCAGACGGGUGAGUAAUACAUAGGUAACCUACCUCAAUGUUGGGGAUAACCUUCCGAAAGGAGGGCUAAUACCGAAUAAGACCACAGGAACUACGGUUCAAGGGGUUAAAGGCGGCUUCGGCUGUCGCAAUGAGAUGGGCCUAUGCACCAUCAGCUAGUUGGCGAGGUAACGGCUCACCAAGGCUUUGACGGUUAACUGAUCUGAGAGGUUGAUCAGUCACACUGGAACUGAGACACGGUCAGACUCCGUACGGGAGCAGCAGUAGGGAAUAUGCGCAAUGGAAGGAAACUCUGACGCAGCGACGCCGCGUGGGUGAUGAA